rnacentral:misc_RNA from 1 species
UGUGCUGGUGCCGUAGCCAGAUCGCCAAAGCAUAAGGCCUCUCCUUCGAACUGCGUGGUGGCACAGGCAGUGACGUACCAGUGCAGGCGUCAACACAUAUACACAGAGAACGCAUGGGGACGAGUGCCAAUGGUGUUGUUUGCAUCUUGACACCUGACAAGCUCCACCUCUCCACCAUCGUCCGAGGGCCGUCCCUUCCUCGACCUCUCGCCGGCUUGCCGACUCCACACUGCAACGGCAUCGCCUCAGAGGACUGUGCUCAGGUCGCUGCAGCUGAGUGCAGAUGGAGGUGACAUACAUUGCCGAUUGCGGGCAUCACACCCUCAAGUACGCCGGGCUCUCGAAGUGGAACCGCAAGACCGUCGAAGUACUCGUCAAAGAGCGCCGGAAUGAGUGCAACGCGUACGUGGCCGAUGACGAGCGGCUUCGACAAUGCGUACCUCAGCUGCUCUCCGGAGAAUUGCGCGCUGACGAGGAGCUGACGCUCAUUUUGCUGCUGGACACCUUCCACUCACAGAAAUCAAAGGCAUCGCUGCUGUACUCGUGUUUCGAGCAGUUCGGGUGCAAGAAGGUGUGCCUUCACUACACCGCAUCUGCAGGACUCUACGCAGCUGGUGAGACCUCUGGGGUAGUGGUGGACCUCGGCUACGCCGGGGCUCAGCUCACUUCGGUGCAGCAGGGUACGGUGCAAACGGCCAUGUCGACGCGACUCUCUUCGGUCGGCACUCGAAGCCUCGACGGCGAGCUGCACAGGCUGCUGCGCGGCGACAUGACGGAGGCGACACUUCACCUUGUGAAGGCUCACUGUUGCUCACUGAUGGAGCGGGACGAGCUGGUACCGGAGCUGACGCUACCGGACGGCUCCGUGUUCCCAUACGACGACCGGACGAGGAGUGAGCUCCACAGGGCCAGCAGCGCGCUUCUUUACUCCACCACGUCUUCCGUGCCGGAAACUUUGCGCACAGUUUACCAGAAGCACUCGAUUCGCUUCCCCGACUCCACCUCGUGGGUGCAGCUGGGCGGUGGAUCACUAAUCCGCGGUGUGGAUGAGGUGCUCACAGCAGCAAUGGCCCACCCGCUUUUCCGGCACGCGCCUAAGCGGCUUCACUUGAAGGACGUCACGCAUGCCCCAGUCAGCGGCGGCAUCAUCCUAUCGCAGCUGAACGUGUUCAAGAGCAUGUGCAUCGGCGUUAGCGACUACGAGGAAUAUGGCCCCGACGGAUGUCUCCGCAUGCAGGUCGCGGACGCCCGGUGACGACACGAGCGGAGCGCGUUUUCGCAUAUGCGCCAGCCCGUUUUGUCACAAGGGCCGUUUUCCCCUUUUUUCCCUUCCCCACCCUUUUCCGGCCCUUUCAGAGGGGGCAGCGCACAGACGCACGCGCACACCAGCACAUACAUCCCUGCUGCUGCUGAUGUACCAGCACAGCAGCCCGCUUGCUUUGCCAACGGUCGCAGAAGUCACUGGUGAAAGUGCCACUGCCAUGAUGAACUCUCCUGUGUGAGCGCACAUAUCCCCCUGCUUCCUUCGUGCUGCUCACUCUCUCCUUGUCUUUACUUUUCCGGUUGUUUGCCCCCCCCCCCCCUCGGCGCGCUGGGUGCGUCCAAGAGGCUCCUGGUAGCAUCGAGUGGCUCUCCGGUCUCUGGUGGGGUUAGGAUCGCACGUGGGAGACGGAGAGGAGGACGGUGUGCUGGCGGGGAUGCUGGGAUGGGGAUCUUAUAGUACCGGUACUCGCCAUCCCCUCUUUUUUUGCUACAGUGCUCUCUCCCAGAGCCAAGCGGCUGCCACGUACGGAUGGGGCACUCCUCUGUCACACGGCACCUUCUGUCCAUUCAAUGUUCUUCCUCUUUGCCCCCCCUCCCUCCCUCGUGCCUUCUCACAUGCCGCUCUGUUCGCUUUUUGUGUUUGCUUCUGUCUGGCGGGGAUGCUGUCGCCUUGACAUGGCUGUGUGUGCGUCUGUGGAAAG